rnacentral:tRNA from 1 species
GGACCCUUAGCUCAGUUGGUAGAGCAACUGACUCUUAAUCAGUGGGUCUAGGGUUCGAAUCCCUAAGGGUCCACCA